UACGGAGGGGGCUAGCGUUGUUCGGAAUUACUGGGCGUAAAGCGCACGUAGGCGGCUUUGCAAGUUAGAGGUGAAAGCCCGGAGCUCAACUCCGGAAUUGCCUUUAAAACUGCAUCGCUAGAAUUGUGGAGAGGUGAGUGGAAUUCCGCGUGUAGCAGUGAAAUGCGUAGAGAUGCGGAGGAACACCGAUGGCGAAGGCAGCCCCCUGGGCUGACACUGACGCUCAGGCACGAAAGCGUGGGGAGCAAACAGG
rnacentral:rRNA from 1 species